rnacentral:rRNA from 1 species
CGAGCGCACCCUUAUCCUUGUUUGCCAGCGAGUAAUGUCGGGAACUCCAGGGAGACUGCCGGUGAUAAACCGGAGGAAGGUGGGGACGACGUCAAGUCAUCAUGGCCCUUACGAGUAGGGCUACACACGUGCUACAAUGGCGCAUACAAAGGGCAGCCAACUUGCGAAAGUGAGCGAAUCCCAAAAAGUGCGUCGUAGUCCGGAUUGGAGUCUGCAACUCGACUCCAUGAAGUCGGAAUCGCCAGUAAUCGUGGAUCAGAAUGCCACGGUGAAUACGUUCCCGGGCCUU